UACAGAGGGUGCGAGCGUUAAUCGGAAUUACUGGGCGUAAAGCGUGCGUAGACGGUUAUUUAAGUCGGGUGUGAAAGCCCCGGGCUUAACCUGGGAACUGCAUUCGAGACUGCAUUGCUAGAGUAUGGGAGAGGGAAGUGGAAUUUCCGGUGUAGCGGUGAAAUGCGCAGAUAUCAGGAGGAACACCAAUGGCGAAGGCAGCUCGCUGGGACGGUACUGACGCUGAGGCGCGAAAGCGUGGGGAGCAAACAGG
rnacentral:rRNA from 1 species